GAUGAACGCUGGCGGCGUGCCUAAUACAUGCAAGUCGAGCGAACGGACGAGAAGCUUGCUUCUCUGAUGUUAGCGGCGGACGGGUGAGUAACACGUGGAUAACCUACCUAUAAGACUGGGAUAACUUCGGGAAACCGUAGCUAAUACCGGAUAAUAUUUUGAACCGCAUGGUUCAAAAGUGAAAGACGGUCUUGCUGUCACUUAUAGAUGGAUCCGCGCUGCAUUAGCUAGUUGGUAAGGUAACGGCUUACCAAGGCAACGAUGCAUAGCCGACCUGAGAGGGUGAUCGGCCACACUGGAACUGAGACACGGUCCAGUCUCCUACGGGAGGCAGCAGUAGGGAAUCUUCCGCAAUGGGCGAAAGCCUGACGGAGCAACGCCGCGUGAGUGAUGAAGGUCUUCGGAUCGUAAAACUCUGUUAUUAGGGAAGAACAUAUGUGUAAGUAACUGUGCACAUCUUGACGGUACCUAAUCAGAAAGCCACGGCUAACUACGUG
rnacentral:rRNA from 1 species